GCGCUCGCCGGCGGAUCCGGCGCGUCGGCUCCGAUCCGACGAUGCGGAGGUUCGAAUCCUCCCGGGCGCUCCA
rnacentral:tRNA from 1 species